rnacentral:misc_RNA from 1 species
AAGUCGUAACAAGGUUUUCGUAGGUGAACCUGCGGAAGGAUCAUUAUAGAUUCAUAGAGGGGCGGAAGGGGUUGUGCUGGCUAACCACUGGGUAGCAUCUGUGCACGCUUCUUUCACCUCUCGACCCACACACCAGUGCACCAACCAGUUCGUAGCGCUCGAAACCUCCGAAAGGGGGUGGAAAAACGCUACGACUCACCUCCCACCAUGUAUGUCCAUAGAAUGUAAACCCUUAUUAACCAUCUGCUGCUUCGUAAAGAAGUGGACGGUGGGUAAACAAAUUAUAACUUUCAGCAACGG